GUAGUGCAUCUGACCACAGCCCUGGCCAGGUGCUUUUCCCAUCUGCUAAAAAGCCUUCCACGUGCUGUGGCCACCUCGACCCAACCUGUUGGGUGAUACAGCUGCCCCCAGGGACACAGGG